CUCACAGUGGGGACUCAAUAAAUACCAAAUCUUAGAAGAAUGUAACUCCUGUUCUGUGUUAAGGAUUGCUCCAGGACCUCCACUUCCAUCCUCUCUAAUCCUCACGAAACUCCUACCAAGAAAGGAUUACUAUACCAUGGUUACAGGGGAGGAAGCUGAAGCUAAGAGAGUUUAAUGAACUUGAAUGAAGGUCAAGCAGGUAAAAGAAAACCAGCUCUGGCUCUACAGGUGUCCAUCAUAGGAUGCAAUCCUCCAAGCCCGUCCUCACUGGCCUCCUGGCCCCCGUCUCGUCACCCUCCAAGUUGCUGCUAUGGACACAGAUCAACCUCUGGGUGCAGCGCACCUGGCAGUGAGGUGUCAAGCGAGCCUUCAACCUCUCCCCACAUCAAUUUUCUCACCUUGACAUUGGGGAUCAGAGUGCCUAUUGUGUAUCCACUCAUCCAUUCAUUUCAAGCAUGUUCAUGGAGCACCCAUCACAUGUCUUCCAAGCAACGACAGAGGAGAUGUGAGGACCGACUGUAACAACCUAAGAAAGCACUGAGCAAAUGAGAGAUGCUCCACAUAUGUGGCUCUUUCACUUUCUCUUCUUUCCCAAAACACCAGUUUAUAAAUCAGCAUCACAGCUCCAAAGCCUCUGUGUGUCUUUUCCCCUGCCAAGGAUAAAGUCCAUAUUUCUUUGUUGACCUUUAACAUUUAAGAUAUCUAAGACAAAUCUAUCUAUCUAUUUAUUUAUGAAAAUUUAAGCUGUACACACCCUUUGACCACCUGGGGCCACUUCUUGGAAGUCCCCUACUUCCCAUUCCACCCCAGUAUAC
rnacentral:lncRNA from 1 species